rnacentral:rRNA from 1 species
AUUGAACGCUGGCGGCAUGCCUAACACAUGCAAGUCGAACGGCAACGCGGGGUUCGGUGUGGCUGCGCGUGGCGAACGGGGGAGGGAUGCAUCUGAAUGUGCACAGUCGUGGUGGAUGGGGCGGCGAAAGCGGGAUUAUUACUACAACCGCACAGAGGGUGAAAGCGGGGGAGCGAGAGGUCUCGCCCUAUUGGAGCCGGCCAUGUCGGAGUAGCUAGUUGGUGGGGUAAGGGCUUCCCAAGGCGACGAUGCGUAGCUGGUCUGAGAGGACGGAUAGCCACGCGGGAAGAGAGACACGGUCGAGACUCCUACGGGAGGCAGCAGUGGGGAAUAUGGCGCAAUGGGGGCGAGCCGGAUGCAGGCAUGCCGCGUGUAGGAAGAAGGGCUUCGGGUUGGAAAGUGCUUUAGGCGGGGAGGAAGGAAAUAAAGUUAAUACGUGAGGACAAUGACGUUACCGGGAGAAGAAGCACCGGCUAACUCCGUG